CCACAAAGCUGAUCCUGGCCUCCUGCGGAGGAGCCUGAGCGCCUUCCCGCAGACCUGACGCGACCCCUCCCCAGGUACCUGGGCCUCGGCCUGGUCUAGCGAGUCCCCUUCCUCCCAAGGAGCAGCCAGCGGAGCUCGGGUGGAGGAAAGCGAGGAGGCGACCAGGAGGCUGCCGCCGCCGCCGCCGCUGCAGGGCCCGGGGCUUCUGUAGGGCACAAGGCCUCCCUCACCAGGGUAAGGGACUGGCGAUCAACCUGGACGCCUAGGACCCUGGGAGCAAGCAUCCCGCAAUCGAGCAGGCGACGGCGCGGCCACCGCCUGGAGAGGAGCCGGGGCCCGAGGCGGCGUGCGGGGCGGUGGCAGCCGGCUUGGCCUACCCGAAACCCCAGGCCUGGAAGCGGCUGCUUUAGGCGUCAAGUUGAGCCGGGUAUGUGUGUCCUCUUGGGGAAAAGGAAACCCGCCCAGGCCAGGAGGAGCCGCGAGUGGUGGGGAGAGUCAAAAAAGAGGAGAUGCGCUGGGAGAUUACCCCCGCCCCCGCACUCCGCCCCCAGCCCAGCCCCGGCCUCCACUUCGAGGGAUCCUGAGCCUCCCACAGCCACUACCACCUUUUCCCCGGUUGAGAAAACCCCUGAUUGUAGCGAGAUAACAAUUGGGUGGGGGGACAGGUGGAUGCCGCCGGAGAAAAAGAAGGGAUGGAGGCAGCCCAGCCGGCGGCCCUGGGUCUCCAGGCGCCAGCAGUCCAGCAGCGACGGACACCCGGCGGACCUCAGCCGGGACGCCUCGGGCAGCUGCUUCUUGGUCACUGCCGCACCCACCUCUGCACCCCAGCUCCGGUCAGCCCAGCAGCCAAAGCAAAAAGGAGAUUCCUCAGUUUCCUCCCUUGGAGGCUGCAAAGCCUCUCUCUGGUUAUUCCAACCAUUAAGGAAAAAAGAGAUGAUGGGAAAGAUUUGGUCUGCACACAAAGACAUACUAGGAGAAGAGUGCACAUUUAUGUAUAAAAUAGCCCAGGCACCAAGAAUGAGACAUUACUUCAGUACCGCCUAGAAAUAGUUAAAAAUAACUGAAUGCUAGAGGACAGAAGUGGUUUUGGGAUCUGCCCCACACACCUUAUCAGGAUCCCUAAUUCCCUGCCAUCUCCUGUGGUUCCAGGACACAAACUGCUGUAACCUCCAGAAGAGGGCUUCUCAGCCACCUGGCUCCCACGUACCUGCCGGUUCCCCAGGCACACUGUGUCCCGGGGCAGCUGGAAACCCUAACAGAAAACCCCUACCGAAGAAUGCUCAGGAGUUCCCACUCCCAUCCCUUCUCUGCACCCCUGACUGUCCCCACCUCAUUUAUCUUUUGCAAGAAGGCAGGUUGCAAAUGUCAAAUAAAGAAAAAUGCAGCUUGCCAGGUGUCCUCGCUUUUGGUGGGGACAGAACAGCCCCAGUGCUGGGGCUGGCAGAGACCUCGUGCAGAGUGGAGGAUGGGCCCGUGGAUUGCAGCCACUCCGCAUUUUCUAAGCCCUGCGGCUUCUUGGGCCAGGGACUUUGGGCUUUAGGAGGCAGCUGGCUGGAAGCUGCAAGCAGAGCCUCCUGCUUGAUCCCACCCAGAGACUCCAUAAUCAGACCCCCCAUGCGACCAGACACCCGAUGGGGUCUUGGUCUGAAAUGACACCACACCCCGACUGGGUUCAAAUGGGUAGAAAACAAUUUCAUUCUUCUGAACGGCACAAAUAGGUCAUGGUAAGCCCCUCACACACACACACACACACACACACAGACUACCAGCCAUGUGGGCCCCCAAGCAUCUCAUUUACAGAUGCCUGGAUGGACUCAACAUGACUGGCUAGCCCCCAGC
rnacentral:lncRNA from 1 species